rnacentral:tRNA from 1 species
GCAUCGGUAGUUCAAUGGCGAGAAUGCUCGCCUGCCACGCGGAGGACCUGGUUCGAUUCCCGGCCGAUGCA